GAAAGGAUUUGCCCGGUUGGUGAAGGAGGAAAACGGAGAUGAAAAUCCUGCUGCCCUCGAUUCUCAUCCUGUCUGCUGUGAUCUUGCUGCAGUUUGCACAGAUACAAUGUUUUAAGGCUUCAAUUCCGAUGGACCUCGCAGGAAAUUCCCUUGACGAUCAAUAUGUCGGUUGUAGAAAGGAAAUGUUAAAAAUUGUCAAUAAAAAAUAUCUUUCAUCAGAAUUAAAAAAAAACCCAGACUUUAAAAACGCCUGGAGCAUAGCAAAAAAAGAAAACAAAAACCAAAAGCAGAAGGUACUGAAACCGGAACAAGCCAUGGCAAUCUAUGUUUACACUAUGGAUGCUGUUCAUGACCCAUUCAAUAAAGCAGUUAGAGAAGGAGGAACAAAUUACAAAGCUUUCCCAUUCAAGUCAUUGCAUUUUCUUCUGACAGACGCCCUGAAUACUCUGAGGUCCAAGGAGGCUAAAUGUUAUAAUGUUUUUAGAGGAGAUACUAAAAAGUCUACCACUGAUGUAGGUGCAAUUGUACGAUUUGGGCAUUUUGCUUCUACCUCUCUAGACAAAAAUGUAGCAAAAGAGUUUGGAACAAGAACAGUGUUUGAAAUAAAAACCUGCCUCGGCGUGCUAAUUCAAGAAUAUUCAGACAACCCCGACGAAGAAGAAGUGCUUAUUCCACCUUUUGAAAAAUUUAAAGUGUUGAAUGUCAAAGGAAAUCAAAUCCAACUGGAACACAUUCCUGACAAGACGAGUAAUUUCAACUGCUUGGGAGUGAAGAAAAACAUGCUCCUGUCAUAAAGGGUUAUGUUACUUUGGUAACAAGUCUCCCUGAAGAUGCAAAACACAAUGGUGGGAAAAUUCUGGCUGUCUAAUCCAUUUUUCUAUAUUGUUUUUAGUAUACUGUAUCUUGCUUGAGAAUGAUAUGGUCAUUACGUUCAGUCUUUGAUUGGAAAUUUAAAUUCUCACUUCAAUGGAUCUGUGGGAGGCUCCCACUCACAUUGUGCAUUAAUGCUGCCAACCCAGAAUCACGUUGGCCUGUAUAAUCAAACAGCUUGUUGGCCUCAAAUCAUGGUGGCCUCUCUAAUCAAAACAUUCGAGAUCCUUCAAUCCUCACUUUAAAAAGAAAAUGUAUUCUCCAGUUUGCAAUUCUCAGCACCUGGUGUGGGAAGUUAGAAAGCCCCACUCUACAGUGUGAUGUUGUCCAGAUCAUGUGUAAAAAACACAAGUGCAGGAGUCGGGGAUCCUGCUCAAUGUGAUCAGGUGUAGAGGACCAGCACAUCACCUUCAUUGCUCAAUGUGAUCAGGUGUAGAGGACCAGCACAUCACCUUCAUUGCUCAAUGUGAUCAGGUGUAGAGGACCAGCACAUCACCUUCAUUGCUCAAUGUGAUCAGGUGUAGAGGACCAGCACAUCACCUUCAUUGCUCAAUGUGAUCAGGUGUAGAGGACCAGCACAUCACCUUCAUUGCUCAAUGUGAUCAGGUGUAGAGGACCAGCACAUCACCUUCAUUGCUCAAUGUGAUCAGGUGUAGAGGACCAGCACAUCACCUUCAUUGCUCAAUGUGAUCAGGUGUAGAGGACCAGCACAUCACCUUCAUUGCUCAAUGUGAUCAGGUGUAGAGGACCAGCACAUCACCUUCAUUGCUCAAUGUGAUCAGGUGUAGAGGACCAGC